AUUUUUAUAGUGUAAAAAACACCUAACAUUUUCGUUGUUAUAAUGCUUAUGCUAAAAAUAU
rnacentral:tRNA from 1 species